UACCCGCUGAGUUUAACAUAUCAAUAAGCGAGGAA
rnacentral:rRNA from 1 species